UUAAGCGACUAAGCGUACACGGUGGAUGCCCUGGCAGUCAGAGGCGAUGAAGGACGUGCUAAUCUGCGAUAAGCGUCGGUAAGGUGAUAUGAACCGUUAUAACCGGCGAUUUCCGAAUGGGGAAACCCAGUGUGAUUCGUCACACUAUCAUUAACUGAAUCCAUAGGUUAAUGAGGCGAACCGGGGGAACUGAAACAUCUAAGUACCCCGAGGAAAAGAAAUCAACCGAGAUUCCCCCAGUAGCGGCGAGCGAACGGGGAGGAGCCCAGAGCCUGAAUCAGUGUGUGUGUUAGUGGAAGCGUCUGGAAAGGCGCGCGAUACAGGGUGACAGCCCCGUACACAAAAAUGCACAUGCUGUGAGCUCGAUGAGUAGGGCGGGACACGUGGUAUCCUGUCUGAAUAUGGGGGGACCAUCCUCCAAGGCUAAAUACUCCUGACUGACCGAUAGUGAACCAGUACCGUGAGGGAAAGGCGAAAAGAACCCCGGCGAGGGGAGUGAAAAAGAACCUGAAACCGUGUACGUACAAGCAGUGGGAGCACGCUUAGGCGUGUGACUGCGUACCUUUUGUAUAAUGGGUCAGCGACUUAUAUUCUGUAGCAAGGUUAACCGAAUAGGGGAGCCGAAGGGAAACCGAGUCUUAACUGGGCGUUAAGUUGCAGGGUAUAGACCCGAAACCCGGUGAUCUAGCCAUGGGCAGGUUGAAGGUUGGGUAACACUAACUGGAGGACCGAACCGACUAAUGUUGAAAAAUUAGCGGAUGACUUGUGGCUGGGGGUGAAAGGCCAAUCAAACCGGGAGAUAGCUGGUUCUCCCCGAAAGCUAUUUAGGUAGCGCCUCGUGAAUUCAUCUCCGGGGGUAGAGCACUGUUUCGGCAAGGGGGUCAUCCCGACUUACCAACCCGAUGCAAACUGCGAAUACCGGAGAAUGUUAUCACGGGAGACACACGGCGGGUGCUAACGUCCGUCGUGAAGAGGGAAACAACCCAGACCGCCAGCUAAGGUCCCAAAGUCAUGGUUAAGUGGGAAACGAUGUGGGAAGGCCCAGACAGCCAGGAUGUUGGCUUAGAAGCAGCCAUCAUUUAAAGAAAGCGUAAUAGCUCACUGGUCGAGUCGGCCUGCGCGGAAGAUGUAACGGGGCUAAACCAUGCACCGAAGCUGCGGCAGCGACGCUUAUGCGUUGUUGGGUAGGGGAGCGUUCUGUAAGCCUGUGAAGGUGUGCUGUGAGGCAUGCUGGAGGUAUCAGAAGUGCGAAUGCUGACAUAAGUAACGAUAAAGCGGGUGAAAAGCCCGCUCGCCGGAAGACCAAGGGUUCCUGUCCAACGUUAAUCGGGGCAGGGUGAGUCGACCCCUAAGGCGAGGCCGAAAGGCGUAGUCGAUGGGAAACAGGUUAAUAUUCCUGUACUUGGUGUUACUGCGAAGGGGGGACGGAGAAGGCUAUGUUGGCCGGGCGACGGUUGUCCCGGUUUAAGCGUGUAGGCUGGUUUUCCAGGCAAAUCCGGAAAAUCAAGGCUGAGGCGUGAUGACGAGGCACUACGGUGCUGAAGCAACAAAUGCCCUGCUUCCAGGAAAAGCCUCUAAGCAUCAGGUAACAUCAAAUCGUACCCCAAACCGACACAGGUGGUCAGGUAGAGAAUACCAAGGCGCUUGAGAGAACUCGGGUGAAGGAACUAGGCAAAAUGGUGCCGUAACUUCGGGAGAAGGCACGCUGAUAUGUAGGUGAAGCGACUUGCUCGUGGAGCUGAAAUCAGUCGAAGAUACCAGCUGGCUGCAACUGUUUAUUAAAAACACAGCACUGUGCAAACACGAAAGUGGACGUAUACGGUGUGACGCCUGCCCGGUGCCGGAAGGUUAAUUGAUGGGGUCAGCGCAAGCGAAGCUCUUGAUCGAAGCCCCGGUAAACGGCGGCCGUAACUAUAACGGUCCUAAGGUAGCGAAAUUCCUUGUCGGGUAAGUUCCGACCUGCACGAAUGGCGUAAUGAUGGCCAGGCUGUCUCCACCCGAGACUCAGUGAAAUUGAACUCGCUGUGAAGAUGCAGUGUACCCGCGGCAAGACGGAAAGACCCCGUGAACCUUUACUAUAGCUUGACACUGAACAUUGAGCCUUGAUGUGUAGGAUAGGUGGGAGGCUUAGAAGUGUGGACGCCAGUCUGCAUGGAGCCGACCUUGAAAUACCACCCUUUAAUGUUUGAUGUUCUAACGUUGACCCGUAAUCCGGGUUGCGGACAGUGUCUGGUGGGUAGUUUGACUGGGGCGGUCUCCUCCUAAAGAGUAACGGAGGAGCACGAAGGUUGGCUAAUCCUGGUCGGACAUCAGGAGGUUAGUGCAAUGGCAUAAGCCAGCUUGACUGCGAGCGUGACGGCGCGAGCAGGUGCGAAAGCAGGUCAUAGUGAUCCGGUGGUUCUGAAUGGAAGGGCCAUCGCUCAACGGAUAAAAGGUACUCCGGGGAUAACAGGCUGAUACCGCCCAAGAGUUCAUAUCGACGGCGGUGUUUGGCACCUCGAUGUCGGCUCAUCACAUCCUGGGGCUGAAGUAGGUCCCAAGGGUAUGGCUGUUCGCCAUUUAAAGUGGUACGCGAGCUGGGUUUAGAACGUCGUGAGACAGUUCGGUCCCUAUCUGCCGUGGGCGCUGGAGAACUGAGGGGGGCUGCUCCUAGUACGAGAGGACCGGAGUGGACGCAUCACUGGUGUUCGGGUUGUCAUGCCAAUGGCACUGCCCGGUAGCUAAAUGCGGAAGAGAUAAGUGCUGAAAGCAUCUAAGCACGAAACUUGCCCCGAGAUGAGUUCUCCCUGACCCUUUAAGGGUCCUGAAGGAACGUUGAAGACGACGACGUUGAUAGGCCGGGUGUGUAAGCGCAGCGAUGCGUUGAGCUAACCGGUACUAAUGAACCGUGAGGCUUAACCUU
rnacentral:rRNA from 1 species